UACGUAGGUGGCAAGCGUUGUCCGGAAUUAUUGGGCGUAAAGCGCGCGCAGGCGGUCCUUUAAGUCUGAUGUGAAAGCCCACGGCUCAACCGUGGAGGGUCAUUGGAAACUGGCAGACUUGAGUGCAGAAGAGGAGAGUGGAAUUCCAUGUGUAGCGGUGAAAUGCGCAGAGAUAUGGAGGAACACCAGUGGCGAAGGCGGCUCUCUGGUCUGUAACUGACGCUGAGGCGCGAAAGCGUGGGGAGCAAACAGG
rnacentral:misc_RNA from 1 species